GGAUAUAAGGACAGUCUGGCUGAGACAUCCGUCUGUCUCCCCACUGAUUGCCAGCAUCAUCUGGCUGAUCAGGCUGGCUAGGCAGGUGUCCUCUUACUCCUUCACAGCCUCAUGCAUGCCCCUCCCCAAGCUGUAUGCUCCCUUCUAUCCCAUAGCUAGCACCAGGACUGCUUUAGUUGUCCUCCCCUGCUCAGUGGCAAAGUGUUAAAGCACUUGCCUAGCAUGUACCUAAGGCCCUAGAUUUAAUCACCACCACCACCACCACCACCACCAAAAAAAGUUGUAAUUCUGUAGGU
rnacentral:sRNA from 1 species